CAGUAGCCACGGGAAUACGAAGGGUGCAAGCGUUAAUCGGAAUUACUGGGCGUAAAGCGUGCGUAGGCGGUUUGUUAAGUCUGCUGUGAAAUCCCCGGGCUCAACCUGGGAAUGGCAGUGGAUACUGGCAAGCUAGAGUGUGUCAGAGGAUGGUGGAAUUCCCGGUGUAGCGGUGAAAUGCGUAGAGAUCGGGAGGAACAUCAGUGGCGAAGGCGGCCAUCUGGGACAACACUGACGCUGAGGCACGAAAGCGUGGGGAGCAAACAGGAUUAGAUACCCCAGUAGUCCCUGUCUCUUAUAC
rnacentral:rRNA from 1 species